GAAACUUACCAGGUCCAGACUGGGUAAGGAUGUACAGAUUGACAGCUCUUUACAGAUUCUCAGGGUGGUGGUGCAUGGCCGUUCUUAGUUGGUGGAGUGAUUUGUCUGGUUAACUCCGUUAACGAACGAGACCUUAACCUGCUAAAUAGCGUCGAGUUUCUUCUUGAAACGAAGAUGUCUUCUUAGAGGGACGUCGCGUGUCUAACGCGAGGAGGUGUGAGGCAAUAA
rnacentral:rRNA from 1 species